GCCAGGGGAGGCCAAUGGCACCUGCAGGGCAGAUUACCUGGCUCUGUGCAUGGGAACGUGGCUAUACCAGGCUUAUUAGUGGAACUGGAGCGCAGCGCUGACUGAGAGGCACAUCAAUUAGCAGGGCCGAGAGACAUUUCAAAGGCCCUCUGUAAUUCAUCUGUGAGCUGGAUUAAGCCAGAGAGCAGGAAUCAGCUGAGUCAGCACGCCACUUCAUUAUCUCAGUGUCUCUCCAGCAUGAAUAUCGAAACCUUCCUGGGCUGCUUGAAAAGGAGCCCAUCUGAAACACAGCCUAAUGAAACCAAGCUGUCAACAGAAAUGUACUUAUCAGGAGAAGCCUUUGAUUCUGUGAAAAGCUGCUGUGAUAAUUGCAGUCCAUUGAUCCUGAAAACUAAGAUGACUGCUGGCGUAUUGCGGCUUGCACAGCCCGGGCUGUUGUAAAGGAAAUUACCUCCUUGAUCUGCGACACGUGAGCCCGAGCAGAUGAAAGGAGCCGGCGAGCAACGGGUCAGCAAAGCCAACCCCGCGCCGUUCAUGGGCUGCUGAAGCACUUUAAAACUCGGCUCUGACGUAGAAGGAGAUCCUUAUUUAAUUUCUGCAGCUGGCUGCAGCGGAUCUUCGUUCCCUGCCCCUAAGCUGGAGCGCAAGCGGCACGGCAGCGCUGCGGGCAGGAGGGCAGCGUGCGGCCAUGGGGCUCCUCCUGCCCGGGGGAAGGGGGGGGGAACCUCAGGGAGGGGCUCCUGGGUUCUGUCCUUACUGCACCGCUUUCUUUGCUUCAUAGGAAGGAACGCAGUGCCGAUCGGCUAGAAGAAAAAUAGCGAGCUGGAGAAGCGUGCGUCAUCUGCCCAUCACAUCUCUUUAGAACUCGUUCUUUUCUCAUUCGCAGCAAAUAACCUGCGAAAUGAUAGAAAAAUAAAACCCCAUCACGGUAAAAACGGCUUUUGAGAGGGCAGGCAGAGACAACUUCAGAGCAAGAAAAACAGAAUACCGGGAAAUAACCCGAUAUUCGGGACAUCAGCCCAUCCUCAUCGGCUUGCCAAUGGAAAACCUUGAUUUAGUGUUCCUUGCAGAAGCGCCAUGGUUCUGUUAUUGAAAUUCUCCAGCAAAUAAAGUUGUACACACUGAGAAAGCAGCAGCUUCUUCUGAAAUAUUUGCUCCGGGAUUUAAUCUGAAAGUUGAAUAAAUUAUGACAUUUAUUAUCAGGUCGUUGAGUGACAAGUUUAAACCGCAGUCAAAUAUUCGGGCGUUUUUAAUAUGCCACUUUCGCUGUGUACACAUAGCAAAGUGUAUUUAUUAAUCAAAGAAUAAAGUUCACCUGUGU